rnacentral:rRNA from 1 species
CACGUAGGGUGCAAGCGUUGUCCGGAAUUAUUGGGCGUAAAGGGCUCGUAGGCGGUCCGUCACGUCGGGAGUGAAAACUCAGGGCUCAACCCGAGCCUGCUCCGAUACGGGCGGACUAGAGGUAGGUAGGGGAGAACGGAAUCCUGGUGUAGCGGUGGAAUGCGCAGAUAUCAGGAGGAACACCGGUGGCGAAGGCGGUUCUCUGGGCAUGUCCUGACGCUGAGGAGCGAAGUGUGGGGAGCGAACAGG